UCUGACCGGCGCCUUGGUCAGGUGAUCCGCUGCUGCUGGGGACCGAGGGCCAUGGGGUAUUUGACUGAGCCA
rnacentral:lncRNA from 1 species